CUUAUGAGUUUUUCCCUUUCUCCACCUACUUCAACUGUUCCCACAAAGUUGGUGACACUCAAAAAAGUUGCCAGCAAAAGACUAGGAUUUUAGACAACUGAGGACACAUUUCACUACAUGUUCACAAUUAUCUGAACAGUCAAGCUCAUUUUACAGAUGAGGAAACUGCAGUAAACAGCAUUAAAUGACUUUCCCAGUGUUACAGAGCUAAUAAGGGUUCUGAGGCCAGACCUGAAGUCACAAAGGUACCAACCAUCUUUCUUCUUCUGUCCAACCAAUUUGCUGACACAAAUAAUCGUUGGUCAAAAUUCUACAUGUAAAAAAGAAGAUCAAAUAGUCAAAGACCAAAAUCCAUAUUUUUUUUUAAUCUGAACAAUUAUAAAUCACACUUCUUUGCCUUCCGAGUAUCAUGGAGAAAGUCCAGUACCUCACCCGCUCUGCCAUAAGAAGAGCUUCAACUAUUGAAAUGCCCCAACAAGCUCGUCAAAAUCUCCAGGAACUCUUCAUAAAUUUUUGUCUCAUAUUAAUAUGUCUGUUGCUUAUUUGUAUCAUUGUGAUGCUUCUCUGAAGUUCUGAUACUACUUCCAAGUCUACUCUCCUUCAAUGUAGAUCUAAAACCUAUUAUGAGACAAAGAAAAGAAACUGAAACUGUACAAGAAACCCAUUUGCUGGGUGUUAAGAAUAUUCCCAUGAAAAAGAUGCAAAUGAUCAACUGAUAUAUUCUCCUCCUGCCUUUAAACUUGGGAAACAUUUCUUUCAAGAAGUUAUUUACAAGGAGCAAUAGCUUAAUUAUGCAUGACAUAAUUCUGUUCUUUUAUUAGGCACUACUUACAAGAGGCUUUGUUUUUUUUUCUUUUUUUUUUAUUUUUGAGGCUUUGUUUUCUAAAUCACAUUUCGGUCAAAUCCACUUUAUAUUCAAAGUAACUAUUUCACUGUUUUGGGGAUUGAAUUCAUAUUUUAUUGUUAUUCUCAUCAGAUAUUUAAAUUUUCAGUGCUGACAAUAAUUACCAAAAUAGCAAUUUGAAAUAAUGCUUCACCAUUGCAACUGAAUAGCUUUUUAUAAUCACUUCAACUUUAGAAUAUUCACUAAAAUUGUAGGUAUGCCUUUGGGUUUUUGUUAUUGUUUAAAAUCACGCACUGCUGAAGUUAAAAAUGAAAACUCAUGAAAUAUGUUAAAAUAGAAAACUAGAUUUUAUCCUACACAACAUUUCACCUUUAUUUAGAGAGGGAGUAAAAAAGAAUAAAGAAAGAAAAAUAUAUAGCUCUAAAUUUACCUUAUAUUAAAAAGUUUUCUAUUACUUGCAGCUCCAGUUAAUUCAACAUGACUACUUCAUUCAAAUUAUCUAGUCAAUCAAAUCUAUUCUCCUUCCUAAGUUAUUAUUAUGUUCUGGUAGAUAAGGGGAAACAAGUCAAUCUGUGAGGGUGAUUAGCCUUGACAAAGGAAAUGUUCUUCAAGGCAGUUCUGCCACAACCUACAAUUGAGACAUAAGAAAUCUUUACUGAGCACCACUUUAUUUAAGACACUGAAUGUAGCAUUUAUAGUGACAUUAAGGUCAUAGGUGCUUUUUUCUUCUUCUGCUUGAGAAAGGAUUUUUAAUUUUUUUUUUAGCUUUCAGAAUAUUAAGUUUUCUUUUAAGACAUAAAGAAAUAACAAAUAAUUAAUUUCUAUGCCUUGUAUAUUAAUAUUUUUAAAUCCUUAAACUGAGAUUUGAUAUCUAUUAGUAUAAAACAAUGUUUUCUGUGUUUAUAUACCUAUGAGGCAUAUUCAUAAACCAGCUAUUUUUGCAAUUUUAAAAUAGGUCAACUUCUAAAUUAACUCCUCACUAAAACACAUUAUAGCUUUUCUAUAGAUGCAGAGGAUCCUAUAAAAAGUUUUCACAAUAUUUUCCUGGUUGUAAAACGACUUGGUGAAUCAUACGAUCCAAUAAGAGAUUCUUAGAUUUUACAAAGAAUGUAGGGAGUAUAUAUACAUAAUUAUAUAAAGCAGUGAACCAGAAACUAGUCGGGUAGUGACUGAGACUUGUUGGUAUAGUGAAAAUUCAGACAUGGAGUCAAAAGACUUGAGUUAAAGUCUCCUUUGGCCUAACUCAUUCAUUAGCUAUAUGAUGAUUGAACAAAGACAUUAACUAUUUUGAUUUGUCUUGGAGAAUAUCAGUAUUAAGGGUGAUUAUGGGCUGUGAAUAAGCUAAACUCAUCUUAUAAACCAAGUAUAAACUCUGAAAUUUUAAAUCAUUUUCCAAUUGCUUUGUUAAUUAGACUAUAUUAAAAAAAAUUAGUAUGAGAAUUCAUUGUAUAGUUUCUUCUUCUAAAGAAAAACUUUUAUUUCCUACAUGAAAAUAAAAUGAACUUAUGUCAAAAAUCAAAGAAUCAUUUACCUUCUAUGCAGAAAUCAAUUCCUUAAAAUGAAACUCUUAAGAUCAUAUUUAUAGUGAUUUAACUAUAAACUAUAAGGAAAAAUAAGAAUGCAGUUACAUUAAAAAUGUUAAGAUAAACUGAUGUCCAAAUACAAUUUAAGAACAGUAAAUUCUAGUAUUACAGUUGGAUUAAAAUUCUUAAAAGAAUUAACUAAUUUUAAAGACUUUUAUAUUAUCAUUUAUAUUGUGGUUGGUUAAAAUACAUAUUUGAUAGCUAAAUGUAUUUAAUGCAAAUAGUCACAAUCACAUAUAAAAAAGAAUGUUUUUAAUUUAAUUACAUUGUUUCUAUAAUGUACUCAUUUUACUAUGACAUAAUAAAACAAUCCUAAAUGCUGAGGGUAGAUUUGGCUUUGGAAAAGAGUUUGUUUGCUUUUAAAAAUACUGUAAAAAUCAGCAGCAAGAUUACAACCUGUGGUCACAAGAGGGCAGACUUCUUUAAAAUAUGAGAUUUUCCCCUUCUAAUAACUGUACCUGAACUUGCUCUUUAAGAAACACUUAUUAAUGCACACAAAGGGUAUGCGCCUUUCAUUACAAAAAUUCUAUACUUUUACUUGCCUAAAUAUCAUGUGCCAGGCCCAACUUGAGGAAUUAAUCAAGAAAUAAAAACCCAAAAUGAAUGUAAUAAUAGAGAAUGUCUGGAUUGAGGUAGAGAGCAAAUCACAAACAAAAGCAAUUUUCCUUCUUUACUGGCAAUAUGCGAAUUAAUUAAAAUCUGAGUUUUUUGCAAGAACCAUCUAUACAUUUGUAUACAAAAUACUUUCCAGUUUUCCACGUAAUGUGGAAAAAUCUUAAAUCAAUUUAUUUGAUGAAAUGUUUGCAUUUUUAGCUUCUAUAUAUGUAAAUAAAAUAUGCUAAAAUAAUUAUCAAAUGAGAUAUUGUCAUAGUAAGCCCCUAUCAGCACUGUAACUAAAGAACUAUUUUACAUUAAAAAAUAAUAAUAACCUGAACAUUUAUUUUUCCCAACAUAGUAGCUAUUCAUAGUUCCAAUAGCAUAAUUUUAGGGAAGAAAAACAUACGAAAGUAGGCAUGUAACCUUAGAAUAAAAAGAAAUUUUCAUUCCCAAGCCUUCCACAGGGACAAAAGAUUAUAGUAAUAAUUAUAUUUUUCAACUCCUAAAGGAACUCUUUGGUCUUAGAGGAAUAUGAUAAGACAGAAUGGGUAUUGGGGGAGGGAAGAAUUAAUGCUAGUCUUCCAGAGGGGUUAUGAAAAGAUCCUCUCUCUCCCUAACAGGGGCAGGCAUUGUAAGCAACAGGAUUAACAGGCAUGUACAGUAAAUUCUGGGAAGAAUUAUAGGCUACUAUCUGGUAAAGCCUACACUAAAAGUAUCUUCUUAGAUGAAUACUAAUCCAUCUCCUUAGAGGGUGAAGGUAACAGUAAGAGUGAGAACUGUAAUGUGAUCAAGUAAGGAGUUUGUUGUUACCCAAUGCAUACUCUAAAGAUUAGUGCAAUGAGCUUAUUAAGAACACAACUGUUUUGCAAUCAUAGUGACCAAGAAUGACCAAAAUUGAAAUCUGAAAAGAAAUUCUGUCAACAUUACCAUUCAGUCUUCUGCAAAUCCCCUAUUUCUCUCCAACAAUCUAUUUUUGACAAGAUACCUCUUCAUUCUAUUCCAACAGGGUUGAAUAUUAGUGAAUCUGUGGUACCUAACUUUGUCAACAAAAACUGACUUCAUGGAAAGUACAACUAUUUGGGUCAACUGACUAUCUUCUUGGGUGAAAACGUAAAAUAUUCAUGAACUAUAUAAACAAGUAGAUAUUUCAAAAGAUACGAGGAUCAUAAGACAAAACAGGACAGUGUCAGAAUUAUUGUAAAAGAUCCAAGCUUAAAAUGACAUCUAAGGAAAAGUUAAAGCUCUCUGAAACUGUGUGAAAUUUUAAUAAUUUUAAAUCGUCUCAUCCCUUGAUUUAAUAUCUUUGACCUCAAUAAAAUCAUUUUACAUUUCUGUA